AGAUAUUUUGAGUGUUUGGAAUUGA
rnacentral:miRNA from 1 species